GACGGAGGGUGCUAGCGUUGUUCGGAAUUACUGGGCGUAAAGGGCGCGUAGGCGGCCGCCCGCGUCGGAUGUGAAAGCCCGGGGCUCAACCCCGGAACUGCCUUUGAUACUGGGUGUCUGGAGUCCGGAAGAGGUGAGUGGAAUUCCGAGUGUAGAGGUGAAAUUCGUAGAUAUUCGGAGGAACACCAGUGGCGAAGGCGGCUCACUGGUCCGGUACUGACGCUGAGGUGCGAAAGCGUGGGGAGCAAACAGG
rnacentral:rRNA from 1 species